AGUCUGCUGAACACUGCGGUACAUGCGGCCGCGACGCGCUGUCUUCAGUUUGUGUUCGGCUUUUUUCUUUCGAAGGCAGCGAGGACGGGAGACGCCUGAGCUUUGAAGUCGCCGAGGAAACGAACGCUUCCGUUUGAGUUGGUGCACAAACGGUACAGUGUGUAUGUUUUUGGACCCAAGUGAUUGGCAAGUAAAACAUCCUUUUCUACACUGUUGAAGGAUGAUGCACACAGCACGUCGGAGGAGAUUGAUGACAGCAGCUCUGAAGAUGACACAGAAUGAAAGCCAUCAUCUGGUGAUGCCAAGCUCCUGGAUGAUCAGUCAGCCCAGCAGAGAUCUUUCCUGGACAGCUGCACAAGAGGAAUCUGGAAAGAGAAGAGAGGCUUCUUUCCAGGUUUAUGGAAGAAAGUAC